ACCCCAAAUCUGGAGAGAUUCUACGGGGCUGUGAGACUCCCAACCCCCCACAACAGGUCACCCCAAAUUUGGGCAGUUCUACAGGGUUGUGAGACCCAGACUCCCCCACUUCAUGUCACCCCAAAAGCGAUCCCAAAUUCGGGGACCCGAAUCGGUCCCAAAUUUGAGGCACUUUCACAGCCCCAAACGACCCCAAAUCUGGAGAGAUUCUACGGGGCUGUGAGACUCCCAACCCCCCACAACAGGUCACCCCAAAUUUGGGCAGUUCUACAGGGUUGUGAGACCCAGACUCCCCCACUUCAUGUCACCCCAAAAGCGAUCCCAAAUUCGGGGACCCGAAUCGGUCCCAAAUUUGAGGCACUUUCACAGCCCCAAACGACCCCAAAUCUGGAGAGAUUCUACGGGGCUGUGAGACUCCCAACCCCCCACAACAGGUCACCCCAAAUUUGGGCAGUUCUACAGGGUUGUGAGACCCAGACUCCCCCACUUCAUGUCACCCCAAAAGCGAUCCCAAAUUCGGGGACCCGAAUCGGUCCCAAAUUUGAGGCACUUUCACAGCCCCAAACGACCCCAAAUCUGGAGAGAUUCUACGGGGCUGUGAGACUCCCAACCCCCCACAACAGGUCACCCCAAAUUUGGGCAGUUCUACAGGGUUGUGAGACCCAGACUCCCCCACUUCAUGUCACCCCAAAAGCGAUCCCAAAUUCGGGGACCCGAAUCGGUCCCAAAUUUGAGGCACUUUCACAGCCCCAAACGACCCCAAAUCUGGAGAGAUUCUACGGGGCUGUGAGACUCCCAACCCCCCACAACAGGUCACCCCAAAUUUGGGCAGUUCUACAGGGUUGUGAGACCCAGACUCCCCCACUUCAUGUCACCCCAAAAGCGAUCCCAAAUUCGGGGACCCGAAUCGGUCCCAAAUUUGAGGCACUUUCACAGCCCCAAACGACCCCAAAUCUGGAGAGAUUCUACGGGGCUGUGAGACUCCCAACCCCCCACAACAGGUCACCCCAAAUUUGGGCAGUUCUACAGGGUUGUGAGACCCAGACUCCCCCACUUCAUGUCACCCCAUGGAAUCGGCCGGUCCGAGCGCCGGGACGCGAGACCCCCGGCGUGGGCAGGGGUCGGCAUGGGGGUCCCCCCUUGGAGAUGGCCGUGAAUAAAAUGGUGGUUUUUUUGAGGACAGAGAGAAGUUUUGGGGGAAUUCAAGGUGUUUUGAGUGUCCCCUUCCCCAUCCAUCACCCCCCACCUCUGGGGGUUUUGUAG
rnacentral:lncRNA from 1 species